GACGAACGCUGGCGGCGUGCUUAACACAUGCAAGUCGAACGGUAAGGCCCCUUUUUGGUGGGAUGCUUGGGUGGCGAACGGGUAAGUAACAAGUGAGUAACCUUCCCCUUUGGUUGGCAAAAUUGCAGCAACUUGUGGUUAAUGCCGGAUCGUAGUCUCUGCUGCAUUGUGGGGGAAAGCAAGGUCCGGCGGUUGGGGAUGGGCUCGCGGCGUAUCAGCUUGUUGGUGGGGUAGUGGCUUACCAAGGCUUGGACGGGUAGCCGGCCUGAGAGGGUGACCGGCCACAUUGGGACUGAGAUACGGCCCAGACUCCUACGGGAGGCAGCAGUGGGGAAUAUUGCACAAUGGGCGGAAGCCUGAUGCAGCAACGCCGCGUGCGGGAUGACGGCCUUCGGGUUGUAAACCGCUUUCGGCUGUGACGAAGCGAGAGUGACGGUAAUGGGUAAAGAAGCACCGGCUAACUACGUG
rnacentral:rRNA from 1 species